UACAGAGGUCUCGAGCGUUGUUCGGAUUCAUUGGGCGUAAAGGGCGCGUAGGCGGCGGGGUAAGUCUGGUGUGAAAUCUCGGAGCUCAACUCCGAAAUUGCACUGGAUACUGCUCUGCUAGAGGGCUGGAGAGGAGAUCGGAAUUCACGGUGUAGCAGUGAAAUGCGUAGAUAUCGGGAGGAACACCAGUGGCGAAGGCGGUUGCCUGGGGCUUUGCUGACGCUGAGGCGCGAAAGCGUGGGGAGCGAUCCGG
rnacentral:rRNA from 1 species